AAGCAUAUGUUUAACUCAGUUAUGUUUUGAAGUUAAAAAGUAAUUUUUUUAAAAGACCCAUCCAUAAUAUUUACCAAACACAAUUUUAAACGGGGGACUAUCGAAAGAAAGUUAGUUGGUUUUUUGUUUGUUGUUGUUGUUGUUGUUGUUUUUAACGUUGCAACCCUUUGAAAUCAUUAUUAAAAGACACACAAACAUUUAUGGAGUUGUAAUUUCAAUCUUCUGGCUUCAUUGUGUCCUGCUGGAAGGAAACAACUAUGUCUUCCCUUUGCAUCUCCUGAUAUUGAUGAGACUGUUGUGCACAUAGGGGAGAGCCACACAUGGUGGAAUGAAGGGAUGAAGCUGUUAAAGGAAUCGAAUAUGAUAAAACAAACCAAUACACAAAAAGACAACAGAAUGCAAUGUAAUGUCAAGUCCCUGGCAAUAAUUACAUGAGCUGGCUCAGUUAUGUGAAAACGGAUCUCAUCUCAUUAGAAAAGGUGACGGUUGUACACCAAGCAGAGCAAAGCAGAGGAAGGGAGGGAGGCAGAUUGGGGCCUACGGCACAGGAGAGAGGCACAGGGCCAACCUCGCCCGCACUCUCCAGAGCCACCCCCUCCUCCUCUCUCAUGUCUCCGGCUAUCAAUCAAGUCACACAGAGAUGGACAGAGCAGCCUUUUUGGAGCCAAGAGCCAUGUUUCUCCUAAGCUGUUGGUUCCCGGAUUCUUAAAAGAUUUUGCUCUUGCAACAAAAGAAAGCAGUCACACCACUAGUUUGAUGGUUAAUUUUAUGUGUCAACUUGGCUGGGCCAUGGUGCCCAGAUAUGUGGUCAAUCUUUAUUCUGGAUAUUUCCGUGAGGGUAUUUUUGGAUGAGGUUUCCCUGAUGUGGGUGAGCCCCAUCCGAUCUGUUGAAGGCCUGAAGAACACAAAAAGCUGACCUCCUGCAAGUGAGAGAGAAUUCGGCAGCAAACAGCCUUCAGACUUCAUCUGCAACCUCAGCCCUUUCUGGCUCUGCACCAAACUGUCUUUACACCCAAACUGCAGCUCUUUCCUGAGUCUCCAGCCUGCUUACCACCCCCAUCAGAUUUUGGACUCAGCAAACCUCCACUGCCCCGUGAGCAAAUUCCUUAAAAUAUCUACCUAUCUAUCUCCUGUUGGUUUGUUUCUCUGGGAACCCUGACUAAUACAACCACCUUUAUCAUAAACUCGGAAGAGAAUUCUC